AACGAACGCUGGCGGCAGGCCUAAAACAUGCAAGUCGAGCGGGCAUAGCAAUAUGUCAGCGGCGGACGGGUGAAUAACACGUGGGAACAUGCCCUUUGGUACGGAACAACUCAGGGAAACUUGAGCUAAUACCGUAUGUGCCGGUAACGGGAAAGAUUUAUCGCCAAAGGAUUGGCCCGCGUCCGAUUAGCUAGUUGGUGAGGUAACGGCUCACCAAGGCGACGAUCGGUAGCUGGUUGAGAGAACGAUCAGCCACACUGGGACUGAGACACGGCCCAGACUCCUACGGGAGGCAGCAGUUGGGAAUCUUGGGACAAUGGGGGAAACCCUGAUCCAGCCAUGCCGCGUGAGCGAUGAA
rnacentral:rRNA from 1 species